rnacentral:rRNA from 1 species
AACGAACGCUGGCGGCGCGCCUAAUACAUGCAAGUCGAGCGAGAAGGUGUAGCAAUACACUUGUAAAGCGGCGAACGGGUGAGGAAUGCAUGGGUAACCUACCCUCGAGUGGGGAAUAACUAGCCGAAAGGUUAGCUAAUACCGCAUACGUUUCCGGAACUUCGGUUUCGGAAAGAAAGCAAUACCGUGGGUAUUGCGCUCCUGGAUGGGCUCAUGUCCUAUCAGCUUGUUGGUGAGGUAACGGCUCACCAAGGCUUCGACGGGUAGCUGGUCUGAGAGGACGAUCAGCCACACUGGCACUGCGACACGGGCCAGACUCCUACGGGAGGCAGCAGUAAGGAAUAUUGCGCAAUGGACGAAAGUCUGACGCAGCGACGCCGCGUGGGGGAGUGAAGGUCUUCGGAUUGUAAA